AGAGUUUGAUCAUGGCUCAGAUUGAACGCUGGCGGAAUGCUUUACACAUGCAAGUCGAACGAUGAACCCUAGCUUGCUAGGGGGAUUAGUGGCGAACGGGUGAGUAAUAUAUCGGAACGUGCCUUGUAAUGGGGGAUAACUAGUCGAAAGAUUAGCUAAUACCGCAUACGCCCUGAGGGGGAAAGUAGGGGAUCUUCGGACCUUACGUUAUAAGAGCGGCCGAUAUCUGAUUAGCUAGUUGGUGGGGUAAUGGCCUACCAAGGCUUCGAUCAGUAGCUGGUCUGAGAGGACGACCAGCCACACUGGAACUGAGACACGGUCCAGACUCCUACGGGAGGCAGCAGUGGGGAAUUUUGGACAAUGGGCGCAAGCCUGAUCCAGCCAUUCCGCGUGAGUGAAGAAGGCCUUCGGGUUGUAAAGCUCUUUCGCAAGGGAAGAAAACUUACAUUCUAAUAAAGUGUGAGGCUGACGGUACCUUGAUAAGAAGCACCGGCUAACUACGUGCCAGCAGCCGCGGUAAUACGUAGGGUGCGAGCGUUAAUCGGAAUUACUGGGCGUAAAGCGUGCGCAGGCGGUUUGGCAAGUCAGAUGUGAAAUCCCCGAGCUCAACUUGGGAACUGCGUUUGAAACUGCCAGACUAGAAUAUGUCAGAGGGGGGUAGAAUUCCACGUGUAGCAGUGAAAUGCGUAGAGAUGUGGAGGA
rnacentral:rRNA from 1 species